AGAUUGAACGCUGGCGGCAGGCCUAACACAUGCAAGUCGAGCGGCAGCACGGGUACUUGUACCUGGUGGCGAGCGGCGGACGGGUGAGUAAUGCCUAGGAAUCUGCCUGGUAGUGGGGGAUAACGCUCGGAAACGGACGCUAAUACCGCAUACGUCCUACGGGAGAAAGCAGGGGACCUUCGGGCCUUGCGCUAUCAGAUGAGCCUAGGUCGGAUUAGCUAGUUGGUGAGGUAAUGGCUCACCAAGGCGACGAUCCGUAACUGGUCUGAGAGGAUGAUCAGUCACACUGGAACUGAGACCACGGGUCCAGACUCCUACGGGGAGCAGCAGGUGGGGAA
rnacentral:rRNA from 1 species